GGGGUCUUAGCUCAGCUGGGAGAGCAUCUGCCUUACAAGCAGAGGGCCACAGGUUCGAGCCCUGUAGGCCCCA
rnacentral:tRNA from 1 species